rnacentral:rRNA from 1 species
CCUACGGGAGGCAGCAGUGAGGAAUAUUGGUCAAUGGCCGGAAGGCUGAACCAGCCAUGCCGCGUGAAGGUCAGUGCCCUAUGGGCGUUAAACUUCUUUUGUGCGGGAGCAAUAAUGGUCACGUGUGGCCAGACGAGAGUACCGUACGAAUAAGCAUCGGCUAACUCCGGGCCAGCAGCCGCGGUAAUACGGGGGAUGCAAGCGUUAUCCGGAUUUAUUGGGGGGAAAGGGUGCGUAGGCUGUGAGGUAAGUCGGCGGUGAAAUGCCCCCGAUCAAAGGGGUGAAGUGCCAUUGAUACUGCUUGGCUGGAAUGCGGAUGAGGUGGGAGGAAUGUGUGGUGUAGCGGUGAAAUGCAUAGAUAUCACACAGAACACCGAUUGCGAAGGCAUCUCACGAAUCCGCGAUUGACGCUGAUGCACGAAAGCGUGGGUAUCAAACAGGAUUAGAUACCCGUGUAGUC